UCACACUCUCGUUUCCUUCUCCUUUCCUUUCCCUUCCCCUCCUCCCCUACCUUAGCGUCUCCUCGCCGCUACCCUCCUAGGUCUCGGCGCCGCCGCCGACGCCGCCGAGGGUCUCCGGCGGCCACGGACGCGGUUCGCUGUUACCCCUGACUGUUCGGCACGAAUUUGAAGUUGGAUAUAAGAAAUCAACCUAGCGUCUGUCUUGUUCUCUGUGUAGCGCUUUCCUUUGGAUUGCAGAGAAUUUUCAAACAAACCAACAGCAACUUGCAUCUGACUGACUUGAGGUAACUAUGCCAAAGGACAGGAGCUCCCGUUCAGUCUCGCACGAGGGCUGCCGAUCUCGUGUCUCCCCAUACAAGUUGCGGAGUGGUUCUCGCAGGUCAGAGGAAGCCGCUGCUGCCACCGCUGCUGCAGCAGCAAAGCAGGCUGCAGAAUGGGAGGAGGUUCGCUGUCCUGUGUGCAUGGAUCACCCUCAUAAUGCUGUUAUGCUUGUCUGCUCGUCACAUGAGAAAGGUUGCCGCCCUUUCAUUUGCGACACAAGCUACAGACACUCCAAUUGCCUUGAUCAGUACCGCAAAGCCUCCAAGGAGUCCUCUAAGGAUUCAGGGGCAGCAGAAUGCGCUGAGUGCCAGCAGCCAGUUAAACUGGCAUGUCCAUUAUGCCGUGGGCCGGUCAGCCAUUGGACUAAGGAUUAUGAUGCACGGAAGUUCAUGAAUUCUAAGGAUCGAGCAUGCACCAUGGAGUCAUGUGAGUUCAAGGGUGCAUACAACCAGUUGAGGAAGCACGCAAGGGAGGAUCAUCCUGCUGUACGACCAACGGAGGUGGACCCCAAUCGACAGCGAGACUGGCAUAGGAUGGAGCAGCAGCGUGAUCUUGGGGAUUUGUUCAGCAUGCUGCGUUCGGGGAUCAGUGGCAGAGAAGAUGGGGUUGGAGUCGGUGAAGGUGACGAGGGCGUCAGUGAGAGAUCUUUGCACGCCACGUCCAUAACGAUGGUCUUCAUUGUGCGGUCAGGCAGGUCCAUCCUACACUACACAGACGGGGAAAUCCCAGGUCGUCGAUCAAGAACAAUUCUUCUAGUUGGGGAGCCUCGUGGUGAAGCCUCCCGAGCAGGAGGAUCAAGCGGCAAUGGUGAUGCUGAGGCCACUACAACCGACAAUGAGGAAACGGACCUGGCAAUGUCAACACAGGCAUCUGCUGGUUCUCAGGAAGAUGCUGGAGAAGCCGGUGGCGAUCCUGCGCAGUGAUGCUGCCUAAGGUCAGCUCCCUUGCUCUCUUGGACUGAAAAGCCUAGCAGCAAGCCAUUUAUCGUGGUUUGCCGGGAGUCGGGCGCAUGUUGGGAAGAAACAUCCGUGCCAGCUUGUCUCAGGCGUAGUCAGGACAUUCUGCCUACAAGCAAGCAAGAAGAAAUCAGGGGGGCUAAGUAGUGUCGUUUACAUCCUGCUGGAAUCUGUCGGCAAACAUAAACAUUUAAUGGUGGCGUUGUAUUAUUGGAACAUGUCCCAUGUUUGGUACUCCGGUGAAUCGCUUCGCUGCGUUGUAAUUCUCUCUAGCUCUUCUGCUGAAUUCCAUUUCGCUGCAUUGUAAUUGCAUCUGAGUAGAUCUUUUCUGCAUUUGAAGAAUUUGUUGUAUAGCGUUCAGGUUUCUAGUUCCACUUAUGCCUGGAGGAACCUGAGAAAUCGGAAUAUGGUCGAUGACAGUGAAUGAAAUGCUCCUUAGUUCAGAC
rnacentral:rRNA from 1 species